rnacentral:misc_RNA from 1 species
AAGUCGUAACAAGGUUUCCGUAGGUGAACCUGCGGAAGGAUCAUUAACACGAACUUUAUCCAAUAUCAAACCAAACGCGAACUUUUCCCCUCCCUAGUCUUUCUUUGUUAAAGGAAAGGCUAGGCUAACCUAUUUUUUAACUCUAUAUACAAUAUAACUUAUUGUUGGUUAUACUGUAUAUAUUGUUAUUUUUAACACCUAGAACAUUAACUCUAGUUGUGUCGAGGAUCGAAUUUUCAUCCUCUUCAAAACUACUAACACUAAAAAAAAUGACCUGCAUUAUCUCAAGUUUAUUGAGUAUUGUGGAGUUUUUUUCGAUCUUACGAAAAAUUAAGAACAACUCUUAACAAUGGAUAUCUUGGUUCUC